rnacentral:tRNA from 1 species
GUGGCUCAGUGCUGAGCGCCUGCCUGGUAUGCAUGAAGCCCUGGGUUCCAUUCCCAGC